AAGGUGCUCGCUGCCAAGCCCGAGUUUGAUCCCUGGAAACGUGCGUUCGGCCUCCGAGGUCCCAGAAGCAACGGAGCUCACCGUGCUCCUCCUGGCUCUUGGCCUCUGUAACCGUUGUCGACUACGAUAAACCAAAGCUUCCUGGAGGAGACGCUGCUCCAAGGUGAUCCUGGAACAGGUGCUGUAAGGAUGUGCUCCGGAGCUUUGAGGACGGCAAAACAUCGUCUCUGCGGCCUGCUCUCCAAGGCUUCAGAAAA